AUAAUAAUGAGGUUUAUCCUUACACAAUUCAGGUUAGAUUUCUUUUGCUUCUAAAUAAACCUCUAUCCUUGAAUAAUUUUAGUUAGACUGAACAUCCAAAUUUUAGUUGGAUUUUUUUACCUAAAAUAGACAUAUAUGAUAGAAAUAAUCUAGAAAAGCUAAAACUCUUCAAAAAGUAGAUCUUGAUUUUUGUAUCAACUCUGCUUUCUAUUGUUUCACCAGAUUUUUC
rnacentral:lncRNA from 1 species